UAUGACGGGUAUCCGGCCUGAGAGGGUGAUCGGACACACUGGAACUGAGACACGGUCCAGACUCCUACGGGAGGCAGCAGUAGGGAAUAUUGCUCAAUGGGCGAAAGCCUGAAGCAGCAACGCCGCGUGGAGGAUGAAGGUUUUAGGAUUGUAAACUCCUCUUGUUAGAGAAGAUUAUGACGGUAUCUAACGAAUAAGCACCGGCUAACUCCGUGCCAGCAGCCGCGGUAAUACGGAGGGUGCAAGCGUUACUCGGAAUCACUGGGCGUAAAGAGUGCGUAGGCGGGAAGGUAAGUCAGAUGUGAAAUCCUGUAGCUUAACUACAGAACUGCAUUUGAAACUACUUUUCUAGAGUGUGGGAGAGGUAGGUGGAAU
rnacentral:rRNA from 1 species